UCUCCGUAGGUGAACCUGCGGAGGGAUCAUUACCAGAGAUGGCGGGCCCCCGGGCCCCCGUCCCCAACCCUUUGUUGACCGAACCACUUUUGCCUCGGGGGCAGAGCGUCCGCCGCCGCCCCCGGAGGACCAUUUAACGCUGUCUCUUUGCGUCGGAGUAUUGAUUAAAUAAAUGAAAACUUUCAACAACGGAUCUCUUGGUUCUGGCAUCGAUGAAGAACGCAGC
rnacentral:misc_RNA from 1 species